rnacentral:lncRNA from 1 species
GAUUUCUGAGUACAAGUUUCAAAAGGAGCUUCUGGUGACAUUGUGCGUCCCCUCACUGGUGGCUACGGAGAUCUCUUUGCCUUGGGCUGACUGGGAAGAGACAGGACAACUUGGUCCCUUUAAGGUGUCUUUGAAAGCUGCCUGAGCACACCAGCCUGUCACUUCAUUCCUUCUGUGGGUAUGUCUAAGUAGAGAUUACAUCUGCAGGUAUUUAAGUGAGCAGAUUAUUGUAUUAAACCAACAUCCCAGAAUUUUUUUAUUUGCCCCACUGAAAACUGAGCAUCAAAGCGGCUGCUUGUAGACAUUUCCACGCCCAACCCACCAUACUUGAAGUAUUUCUUAGGGCUUUAUUUUAUAGCUGGUUUGAGUCCACAAGGAAGUGGUUCUUUGUAGAGGCCUUUAUAAGUGUGAGUGGUCCCCUCAGAGCGUCCUCGGGGACAGAGAUACACAGCCCUGAUAUGGCUGAUGAGAGGUGUUUUUUUUUUUUCUUCCUACAGUCCAUGGGCCAAUUGCCCUCGACUGUCUGGUGUGUUCUGUUGUGUGUUUGAACGAUCAAUACUUUCUUCAAAGACACACAUUCCAUCUACUUGGACAUCAGGAAAUCCUUUCUCUGUUCUGAGUUGAAUAUUGAUUUGGCUUAAUUCAUUGCUGGUUACUUUCACAUCUAAUCUUUGGGGAUUACUGACCAUCUAAAGACAGCUGAAAUUCUCCUGCAGGUUUUGAGUUGGCUCCUGCUAUUGCUACAACUGUAAUGCCAAUGGUAAUGGGAGUAGGAGCUGCCCUGUAGUUAAGGAGACUGAGCUAGCCAGCUCCCAAGCUGAAAAUGCAAGCCAGUGUGCUAGGAUGUGUGCUUGUGUUGUUUCACUGCGCUGCUGCGACAGCACAGGACAACUGGCAGAAUGGCUGUGAAUGUCACAAUGUGACCAUGGUGCUUUGAACCCAUUGCUGCUCACUGCAACAAAGUCUCAGCUUGAUCUGCUAGCAGCCACUUCCCCUUGAUAUUAAUAGGUACUGAGUUUUGAAGAUACCUUGUAUUACCUCAUGACUUGAAAAAGUGUUAGCCAAGUGGGUGACCCACAUCUUGCACCACUAAGGCCCUUUGGCAUCAGGAAUGUCCUCCUUUCUCUUCCCCUGAAAAAUGAAUUGGUAUGGUGCCAUAGAAAAUCACGUUACUGAUACCAGUUUUUGGAUUUCAAAAAGGUUAUUUUUUGAAGUUUGGAUGAAAACUCAGUGGGCAGAGGACACUUGGCAAAGUGUCUGAUCCAGCACAUAAGAAAGUUUAAUAAUGGCAUUUGUUAAAAGUGAGGAGGAAGAAAUGUGGCCCUGGCCCUGGGAAGUCCCCUCUGGUGCAGUUUAGUGGCCUGCAGGCUUGGAGCCUUGCUGCAAGUCUCAGCUUCACAGUAUAUCUGUGGUCGCAAGCACUCUGUUUCGUCUGCUUGGGGUGUGCAUGUGCGUGUGUGUGCACACACACUCAUGCAUGCACACUCAUGUCAAGUUCCCAGAAUGAAAGUUCCUUAAAUACUGAAACUAUGUUCUGAGGGUGAAAAUUUUUAUGUGUGUGUAAAAUUUCCUCCUUGGUUUAAAAGUGUGGCCCUCCUUAGAAAAGCUUUUGUAAACAGCUUUCUUGCGAACACAUAUCAACACUUGGGAUUCUCAGGCUCAUCACUAAUCACAGAAUAAACUACUUGUGGUUGGUUCUUAACCGUCUUAGACUGCAUUAUCUUUGUGAUGGGCUGACUGUGGGAGUAAGUGGAUGCAUGCAGGACAGAGUGACAGGAGUCAGGAAGGUGGGGUGGCAUGUCUUCUGGGCACUGUGUCCCCAGCCCACAGGCGCCAGGUGCAUCUUCAGAAGAUCGACAAUUGGGAUGUCUACAUACUGUGGUCGCCUGUGCUUAGGGUGGCUGUGAAAGGGGACAAAGCCACGUCGUGUUGGGAAUGGAAAUCUCACGUCUGGCUCACUCUAUGCUGUAGAGUGGACCGAGGGGCCCUAUUCUUUGCUCUACUUGUUCUCUCGUGGCACAGGACCAACUAUGGGACUCACUAGCAUUAGGCUGUUGGGGGAGCUCAGUGGAAAGCUUCCCUACACCCCAUCCCUGUACCUCAAAGAAAAUAGUUUGUCAUCUGAGAAAUAAUGUUUGAAGAUUUCGUCAAACAGCAUACCAUAUGAGUUACAGCUAGUGUACCUUAAAUACAGAAGAAGAAGAUGCCUUCUAAAGUACUCUCAAUAGAAUUUUUAUUAUAUAAACUUAGUAUAUUGUGGCUGAAGGAAUGGUUCAGUGGUUAAGAGCACUUGCAGCAAAAUCAUGAAGACUGGAGUUCGAAUCCUGGCACCCAAGUACCAAUCCAGACAUCUGCCCACAGAUACCAGCUCAGAGUCCAAGCAGAGAAGACAGGAUUGCUGAGAUUUGCAGACUUCCAGCAUAAUGGAGGAAAAUGUGAGUCCCAGGCUCAGAGAGAGACCCUGCCUUAAAACGUAGUAGGCAGAGAGGGAUGGAGAAUGGCACUCCACCCACCCUUCUGGACUCUACACACACCAACAGAAACAUGUGUACUCGUGCACAUAGACAAACAUACGCCAAUCUUUUUACAAAAUGUACAGCUAGCUAUAGUAUUUAGCUUGGUGCAUAUCUACUGUGUGCAUGCUACUUGUGCCUUGUGGAGUGGGUACUAGCCUUAAUUUUCAGUUUUGUACCU